rnacentral:rRNA from 1 species
UAGGGAAUCUUCCGCAAUGGGCGAAAGCCUGACGGAGCAACGCCGCGUGAGUGAUGAAGGUCUUCGGAUCGUAAAACUCUGUUAUUAGGGAAGAAUAAAUGUGUAAGUAACUAUGCACGUCUUGACGGUACCUAAUCAGAAAGCCACGGCUAACUACGUGCCAGCAGCCGCGGUAAUACGUAGGUCCCGAGCGUUGUCCGGAUUUAUUGGGCGUAAAGCGAGCGCAGGCGGUUAGAUAAGUCUGAAGUUAAAGGCAGUGGCUCAACCAUUGUAGGCUUUGGAAACUGUUUAACUUGAGUGCAGAAGGGGAGAGUGGAAUUCCAUGUGUAGCGGUGAAAUGCGUAGAUAUAUGGAGGAACACCGGUGGCGAAAGCGGCUCUCUGGUCUGUAACUGACGCUGAGGCUCGAAAGCGUGGGGAGCGAACAGG